AGUCACUGACAUUAGAUACCCGCGUAGUCCCAACCGUAAACAAUGUGCGUUAGGUGUGUCGGUAACCACGCGUUACUGAUGCGCCGAAGAGAAAUCGUGAAACGCACCACCUGGGAAGUACGGUCGCAAGGCUGAAACUUAAAGGAAUUGGCGGGGAGCACCACAACAGGUGGAGCCUGCGGUUUAAUUGGAUUCAACGCCGGACAUCUCACCGGAUAAGACAGCUGAAUGAUUGUCAAUCUGAAGGUUUUACAUGACUAGCUG
rnacentral:rRNA from 1 species